UCACCUGUUUUUCAAAAACAUGUCUUAAAGAAAAUAAUUUUAAGUCUAAUCUGCUCAAUGAAUUUAUUUAAAUAGCCGCAGUAUAAAUAACUGUGCUAAGGUAGCAUAAUAAAUAGUUUUUUAAUUAAAAACUCGUAUGAAUGAUUUAAUGAAGUAUAAACUGUAUUAAAAUUAUUUUUUAAACUUUUUCUUUAAGUAAAAAAAUUUAAAUUUUUAUUAAAGACGAGAAGACCCUAAAGAAUUUUUAUUAAUUAAAUUUUUUAAAUUAAAUUUAAUUAAUUUUAAUUGGGGCAAUUUUAAAAUUUAAUAAACUUUUAAUUAAAAAUAAAACAAAAAUUUUUGUAUUUAAUAAAUUUUUUUUAAAAAAAAAAUAAAUUACCUUAGGGAUAACAGCAUAAUUUUUUUUAAAAGUUCAAAUUUAUAAAAAAGUUUAUGACCUCG
rnacentral:rRNA from 1 species